UACGUAGGUCCCGAGCGUUAUCCGGAAUUACUGGGUGUACAGAGUCUGUAGGUGGAGAAAUAAGUUGGGUAUGAAAGACCGGAGCUUAACUCCGUGUUUGUGCCCAAAACUAUUUUUCUUGAAUAAGCAAGAGGUAAGCGGAAUUGUGUGAGUAGGGGUGCAAUCCGUUGAUACACACAGGAACACCAAAAGCGAAGGCAGCUUACUGGGGCUUUAUUGACACUGAGAGACGAAAGCGUGGGGAGCGAAAAGG
rnacentral:rRNA from 1 species